GAUGAACGCUGGCGGCGUGCUUAACACAUGCAAGUCGAACGAUUAAAGCCCCCUUCGGGGGGUGUAUAGAGUGGCGAACGGGUGAGUAACACGUGGGCAACCUGCCCUCCGCUCCGGGAUAACUCAGGGAAACUUGAGCUAAUACCGGAUACUCCGAUCGGGUCGCAUGGCCUGAUCGGGAAAGUUCCGGCGGCGGAGGAUGGGCCCGCGGCCCAUUAGCUUGUUGGUGAGGUAACGGCUCACCAAGGCUGCGAUGGGUAGCCGAGCUGAGAGGCUGAUCGGCCACACUGGGACUGAGACACGGCCCAGACUCCUACGGGAGGCAGCAGUGGGGAAUCUUGCGCAAUGGGCGAAAGCCUGACGCAGCAACGCCGCGUGCGGGAUGAAGGCCUUCGGGUCGUAAACCACUUUCAGCAGGGAUGAAACUGACAGUACCUGCAGAAGAAGCCCCGGCUAACUACGUGCCAGCCGCCGCCGUAAGAC
rnacentral:rRNA from 1 species